UGGAGAGUUUGAUCCUGGCUCAGGAUGAACGCUGGCGGCGUGCCUAAUACAUGCAAGUCGAGCGAACGGACGAGAAGCUUGCUUCUCUGAUGUUAGCGGCGGACGGGUGAGUAACACGUGGAUAACCUACCUAUAAGACUGGGAUAACUUCGGGAAACCGGAGCUAAUACCGGAUAAUAUUUUGAACCGCAUGGUUCAAAAGUGAAAGACGGUCUUGCUGUCACUUAUAGAUGGAUCCGCGCUGCAUUAGCUAGUUGGUAAGGUAACGGCUUACCAAGGCAACGAUGCAUAGCCGACCUGAGAGGGUGAUCGGCCACACUGGAACUGAGACACGGUCCAGACUCCUACGGGAGGCAGCAGUAGGGAAUCUUCCGCAAUGGGCGAAAGCCUGACGGAGCAACGCCGCGUGAGUGAUGAAGGUCUUCGGAUCGUAAAACUCUGUUAUUAGGGAAGAACAUAUGUGUAAGUAACUGUGCACAUCUUGACGGUACCUAAUCAGAAAGCCACGGCUAACUACGUGCCAGCAGCCGCGGUA
rnacentral:rRNA from 1 species